ACGCUCGACACCUACGGAAGGCAGCAGUGGGGAAUAUUGCACAAUGGGGGAAACCCUGAUGCAGCGACGCCGCGUGAGCGAAGAAGUAUCUCGGUAUGUAAAGCUCUAUCAGCAGGGAAGAAGAUGACGGUACCUGACUAAGAAGCACCGGCUAAAUACGUACCAGCAGCCGCGGUAAUCUGAGCGGGCUGGCAAGGC
rnacentral:rRNA from 1 species